AUUGAACGCUGGCGGCAGGCUUAACACAUGCAAGUCGAGCGGGGUGAUGGUGCUUGCACUAUCACUUAGCGGCGGACGGGUGAGUAAUGCUUAGGAAUCUGCCUAUUAGUGGGGGACAACAUCUCGAAAGGGAUGCUAAUACCGCAUACGUCCUACGGGAGAAAGCAGGGGAUCACUUGUGACCUUGUGCUAAUAGAUGAGCCUAAGUCGGAUUAGCUAGUUGGUGGGGUAAAGGCCUACCAAGGCGACGAUCUGUAGCGGGCCUGAGAGGAUGAUCCGCCACACUGGGACUGAGCCACGGCCCAGACUCCAACGGGAGGCAGCAGUGGGGAAUAUUGGACAAGGGGGGGAACCCUGAUCCAGCCAUGCCGCGUGUGUGAAGAAGGCCUUAUGGUUGUAAAGCACUUUAAGCGAGGAGGAGGCUCUUUUGGUUAAUACCCAAGAUGAGUGGACGUUACUCGCAGAAUAAGCACCGGCUAACUCUGUGCCAGCAGCCGCCGUAA
rnacentral:rRNA from 1 species